rnacentral:rRNA from 1 species
UACCAAGGCUUACGGGUAGCUGGUCUGAGAGGAUGGUCAGCCACACUGGGACUGAGACACUGCCCAGACUCCUACGGGAGGCUGCAGUCGAGGAUCAUUUACAAUGCGCGAAAGCGUGAUAAUGCGACGCUGCGUGGAGGAUGAAGGCCUUCGGGUUGUAAACUCCUGUCAUCCGGGAAAAAUGGUCCCGGUUUUAAUAGGAUCGGGAUUUGAUGGUACCGGAAGAGGAAGCCACGGCUAACUCUGUGCCAGCAGCCGCGGUAAUACAGAGGUGGCGAGCGUUGUUCGGAUUUACUGGGCGUAAAGGGUGCGUAGGUGGUUUUGUAUGUCGGAUGUGAACCCCACCGCUUAACGGUGGAACUGCAUUCGAAACUGCAGGACUAGAGUGCAGGAUGGGAGAGCGGAAUUCUUGGUGUAGCGGUGAAAUGCGUUGAUAUCAAGAAGAACACCGGUGGCGAAGGCGGCUCUCUGGAAUGUUACUGACGCUGAGGCACGAAAGCUGGGGGAGCAAACAGGUUUAGAUACCCUGGUAGUCCCAGCUGUAAACGGUGUGCACUUGGUGUGGGGAGUAUUGACCCUCUCCGUGCCGGAGCUAACGCGUUAAGUGCACCGCCUGGGAAGUACGGCCGCAAGGCUAAAACUCAAAGAAAUUGACGGGGGCCCGCACAAGCGGAGGAGCAUGUGGCUUAAUUCGAUGCAACGCGGAGAACCUUACCAGGGCUUGACAUGCAGCUGCACGUCUACUGAAAGGUAGAAAGCCUUCGAGGGUGCUGCACAGGUGCUGCAUGGCUGUCGUCAGUUCGUGCCGUGAGGUGUUGGGUUAAGUCCCGCAACGAACGCAACCCCUGUGUUUAGUUGCCACCGCAGGUGAUGAGCCUGCGAGCACUCUAGACAGACUGCCCGUACAAGCGGGAGGAAGGUGGGGACGACGUCAAGUCAGUAUGGCCCCUACGCCCUGGGCUGCACACGUGCUACAAUGGCUGGUACAAUGGGACGCAGUGCCGCGAGGUGGAGCAAAUCCCCAAAACCAGCCCCAGUUCGGAUUGGAGUCUGCAACUCGACUCCAUGAAGUUGGAUUCGCUAGUAACGGCGUAUCAGCUACGACGCCGUGAAUACGUUCCCGGGCCUUGUACACACCGCCCGUCACAUCAUGAAAGCCGUCUGCACCCGAAGUCGCUGUACCAACCCUGAGAUUAGUCGAAGGGAGGAAAGUGCCGAAGGUGUGGGUGGUGAUUGGGAUGAAGUCGUAACAAGGUA